ACCACAACUCCACUAGGACAAGCGCUGAGAAGGUGAACGUGGAGAUGUGGAGCGUCCGUCAGCUGGAUGGCACAUGUCAGGGGUCUCGGGUAUCGGUGGCGUCACAAGAUCAAACGACGUAUCUAUUUCCGGGUCAGCGCGUGCUGCAAAUACGACCUGCCAGCAGAGCAGACGACAGUGUCGCAGCGUUGAUGGCGUUGCGGGUCGAGGGAGGGAACACGCUCCAGAGGCGAAAAAAAGGUUGAAUGGGCAGCCAGAUAUCGGUUACAGUCAAAUACAAAGAUUACAUUAAUGUACGGACAAUCCGAGCCAUGCUGCAGUUGCGGCUUCAGGUACUCAUUCUGCUGAAGAAUGUCACUUGAACAGCCUCCAACCCCUGGGAAUAUUAUACCUCAGCGAAAUGGUCGUUUUUUUAUAGGACCACUGUUAAAUCGCUUGCAACAGAAAUCUUGAAAAACAAACAAAAAAUGAUAAUAUUUUGUGAGGUCUGUAUUUUGUCACAUUUUAGACAAAUGUCAAGCCAGCAUUACACUUGUCAAAAGUAAUGUCACCAAUUACAACUGUGGGUUGUCGAGGCUCAACCUAUCGGGGUCAUAGCAUUAGUUGGUGUUUGAUGCUCAACUUAUCAGGAUCAUAGCAACAGUAGGUGUAGGCAUUUUGUAGACGAAGUUUAAAUAUUGUGUGGACAUACCCCGGCGUACCAUCAACUCAUCAAAGGCCCCAAUCAGUCAUAAUACUUUUGUUUAUAUUGCUAGCUUCACCCUUUUGUUCAUAUU